rnacentral:rRNA from 1 species
GGCAAACGGGUGAGUAACACGUUGGGUGACCUGCCUUCGAGUGGGGGAUAACGUCCCGAAAGGGACGCUAAUACCGCAUAAUAUCCUAUCUUUUAAGAGGUGGACAUCAAAGCUGGGGAUCGCAAGACCUGGCGCUUGAAGAGGGGCCCGCGCCCGAUUAGCUAGUUGGUGGGGUAAUGGCUCACCAAGGCGACAAUCGGUAGCCGGCCUGAGAGGGCGGACGGCCACACUGGGACUGAGACACGGCCCAGACUCCUACGGGAGGCAGCAGUGGGGAAUUGUUCGCAAUGGGCGCAAGCCUGACGACGCAACGCCGCGUGGAGGAUGAAGAUCUUC